rnacentral:rRNA from 1 species
GACGAACGCUGGCGGCGUGCUUAACACAUGCAAGUCGAACGGAAAGGCCCUGCUUUUGUUGGGUGCUCGAUUGGCGAACGGGUGAGUAACACGUGAGUAACCUGCCCUUGACUUUGGGAUAACUUCAGGAAACUGGGGCUAAUACCGGGUAGGAGCUCCUGCUGCAUGGGGGGGGUUGGAAAGUUUCGGCGGUUGGGGAUGGACUCGCGGCUUAUCAGCUUGUUGGUGGGGUAGUGGCUUACCAAGGCUUUGACGGGUAGCCGGCCUGAGAGGGUGACCGGCCACCUUGGGACUGAGAUACGGCCCAGAAUCCUACGGGAGGCAGCAGUGGGGAAUAUUGCACAAUGGGCGGAAGCCUGAUGCAGCAACGCCGCGUGCGGGAUGACGGCCUUCGGGUUGUAAACCGCUUUCGACUGUGACGAAGAGUGCGUGACGGUAAUGGGUAAAGAAGCCCCGGCUAACUACGUG